AGACCUGUCCUGCGUGGAAAGCAGAGUGGUCUGAGAAAGAAGUUUGGGAACAGCCUUCGCUGGCCAACUCCAACAGCAAAAUCAAUCCAAUCAAUUGCAGACGAAGAUAGACUGCACUUAGAAAUUGCCAUCUGCAAAGCCUGACAAAGGAUUGGAGGUGAUGGGCAAGAGAACAGCACUCGUGGCUAUGAAUUAUUCAAAGAGCUUGACCAAGGUGACAUGAGGAAUGGAGGGAAUCCUGCGUCAGAUUUCUUGGGCAGUCAGCAUCUAAUUAAGACCUUGCCCUCUCUCCCUGGAGGCCCCGGGAGUUGCCAAUAUGUCUCUGUUCUCAGUUAUGAUACAGCUUAACCGAGGAAAAGGAAAGGAGAGAAGAACUGAAAAUUCAUCAUGUAUCUGUGAGCUUCAAGGUGAGUUCAACAUCCACAGAUGGGCAGGCCAAUGAAUCAGAUGGAAAGCACAGGAGAAGAGUAGAUUUGUUCUCCACCUUCAAUAUUCCAUGAUCAAAUAUACAUUCAAUUACAUUAUGAGCCCCAUAAUCAUGGGAGAUACAUUCCAAGAACACUCGUUGAUACCUGAAAACUACGGAUAAUACCAAACCCUAUAUUUUGGUUAUAUUUGGAUCAGAAGCAUACCCAUAGAAUCACACUGGAGAUUAAGACCACAUGUGUCAAACUCAAGGCCUGUGGAAACCAUAUAAUUUUAUGUGGUCCUUCAGAUGGUGGAAUACAACUCUUCACUAGACAUCAUCACUAGAGCUGAUGGGAGUUGUAAUACAAUAACAUCUGGAAGGCUGUGUCAUAUGGUCUGUUUACACAGGAUAGUGGGGUCUGAAUUUAGGAAAA